rnacentral:rRNA from 1 species
GACGUAGGGCGCGAGCGUUGUCCGGAUUUACUGGGCGUAAAGAGCGCGCAGGCGGUCGUUCAAGUCGAGUGUGAAAGCCCCCCGGCUCAACUGGGGAGGGUCAUUCGAUACUGAUCGACUUGAAGGCAGGAGAGGGAAGCGGAAUUCCCGGUGUAGUGGUGAAAUGCGUAGAUAUCGGGAGGAACACCAGUGGCGAAGGCGGCUUCCUGGCCUGUUCUUGACGCUGAGGCGCGAAAGCUAGGGGAGCAAACGGGAUGAGAAACCC